rnacentral:tRNA from 1 species
ACAUCUUUAGCUGAAUUUGGUACAGCAUUUGUAUUCGAAACAAAAGUAUAUUGGUUCAAUUCCAAUAAGAUGUC